rnacentral:lncRNA from 1 species
AUAUCUCAGCUCCAAAAUUCACAAAUCAAAUGCGGCGAAAAUCUUUUUAUCACUGUUAUCCGAAAUUACGGCCUCGCUUCCCUCCCAAAAUUGGCUGUAAAAACCUUUCUGCGGAUCGAAAACUUCAACGUGCAACGAUCUGUUCGAUCAUUAAACACUUUGUUAAACGUUUUGAUUCAAAACAAACGGUACGAUUUGGUUCACCUAAUGUUCAAAAGCAGCAAAACAAAAUUUAACGUGAUACCGAAUGUUUUUACUGGCAAUAUCUUGAUCAAAGCUCUUUGUCAGAAAAACGACGUCGAAGCCGCAUAUAAAGUGCUU